rnacentral:rRNA from 1 species
UACGGGGGGGGCAAGCGUUGUUCGGAAUUACUGGGCGUAAAGGGCUCGUAGGCGGUCCAUCACGUCGGGAGUGAAAAGCUGGGGCUUAACCCCAGUCCUGCUUCCGAUACGGGUGACUAGAGGUAGGCAGGGGAGAACGGAAUUCCUGGUGUAGCGGUGAAAUGCGCAGAUAUCAGGAGGAACACCGGUGGCGAAGGCGGUUCUCUGGGCCUUACCUGACGCUGGAGGAAGCGAAAGCAUGGGGAGCAAACAGG